GACGAACGCUGGCGGCGUGCUUAACACAUGCAAGUCGAACGGAAAGGCCCUGCUUUUGUGUGUUGCUCGUGUGGCGAACGGGUGAGUAACACAUGAGUAACAUCUCCUUGACUUUGGGAUAACUUCACGGGACUGGGGCUAAUACCGCGUAUAAGCUCCUGCUCCAUGGUGGUGGUAAGAGAAAUUCGGCGGUGGUGGAUGGUCUGGCGGGUUCUGAGCUUGUUUGUGUGGUAGUGGAUUACCAAGCUUAUGACGGCUAGGCGGCCUAGGAGAGGGACCGGCCACAAGGGGACUGAGGUAGGGCGCAGACGCCUACGGGAGGCAGUAGUGGGGAAUAUGGCAGAACGGGCGGAAGUGUGAUGCAGCGACGCCGCGUGCGGGAUGCUGUCCUUCGGGUUGUAAACAGCUUUCGCAUGUGAUGAAGCGUGAGUGACGGUAAUGGGUAAAGAAGCACCGGCUAACUACGUG
rnacentral:rRNA from 1 species